UGGACAGUGAGACUUGGAGUUUUCUGGCGACCCAGGUGGCACUCCGGGGGUAGCUGGGGCGGCUCACGAGCUGAUCCACUCCAUGCCGGCAACCAGGUGAUUUCUGGGGAGACAUCGACCCGUGCCCGACCCCGCGCCUGCCGGACAACCAUCCAGGUAAGCUCGCAGGUGCUUUAUUCUUUUAGGUUUGUUGGUUGGGAGCCUGCCCAUAAGACGGGACCGUGAGUUUACCCGCUGGGUUGGGCAAAGGUUUUAUUGGGAAGCCUAGGCGCUGGUCGUAAGACGGGGCGAAAGCCGCGCUGAACC